AAAUGUACGUUGCGUGACGUUAGGCUAAAGGGAAAUACUUUUUAAUUUUAUUUGUUAUGUAACAGUAUUAGUAUUAUUCAUAACGUGGGUACAACAUAAUAGUGAUGGCAGAAGGCAAAGAAUGUCCAGUAAAAGUUGCUGUAAGAUCUCGACCAUUGUCUGUGAAAGAAGAGCAUGAUGGAGCAACACGUUGUCUUGAAUUCAUUGAAGAUAAAUCACAGGUGGUAGUUGCACUUGAAAAGGGAUUUACCUUUGACUAUACUUUUGAUGAUGAGACAACACAGGAGACUGUUUACAAGAAGUGUGUUGCACAUCUUGUUGACAUGGUCCUUCAAGGGUACAAUGCCACUGUCCUAGCAUAUGGACAAACUGGAUCAGGGAAAACCUACACAAUGGGCACAGAUUAUCAUUAUUCUAACCAGCUAACAGAGACAGAUAUUCAGGGAAUUAUUCCCCGUGCUCUCAUCGACAUCUUUAAGAAGAUAAAAGAUAUGCCUGAUGCAGAGUGUCUGGUAAAGAUUUCUUUUAUUGAAAUCUAUAACGAAGAGGUGUACGACUUGCUGAGCACAGUGAGACAGAGAAAAUCAGUCCAUAUCCAGAAGCAAAAUAGCUCUGUGGUGGUUCUUGGAUUGGAAGAAUUAAAAGUUAACAGUGUUGAAGUUGCCCUUAGCUGCUUGAAAAAGGGUUGUGAAACUCGUACCAAAGGUGCAACAGCCUUGAAUGCUAAUUCUAGCAGGUCUCAUGCAAUUUUUACAGUUCAUGUUGAACAGCUGUUGGUUGAUGGCUAUAAAAAGAAGUCAAAGCUCCACCUGGUUGAUCUAGCUGGAUCUGAGAUGGUGAGAAAAACAAAGUCAGAAGGAGAUAGGUUUAAGGAAGGAGUGAACAUAAACUUGGGCCUGCUUGCUUUGGGCAAUGUCAUCAACAUUCUGUGCACUGAAGGAGGUCGAAAGCAGCAGAACUACAUUCCUUAUAGGAACUCUACUCUCACCAGGUUUUUAAAAGAUUCUAUUUGUGGAAACAGUCUAACAGUGAUGAUUGCUUGCAUCAAUCCUGCUGAUUCAAACUUGGUUGAAACUGUUGAUACCUUACGAUAUGCCAAUAGAGCACGGAAUAUAAAGACUAAACCUGUUAUCAACAGGUGUCCUAUUAAAGAUAAUCCGUUAAAGAGAAAACUGGAAAUGGUUCCUCCUACCCCUGCGAUUUGGAGACGAGGACCAGGCUUUAACAACACAGUUAAUACUCCCAUCACUCGCCCAGCUGCUUCAAAGCAACCUUGCUUAAAUUCUACAGUUGGAACUCCUUAUCAGACCACUUCUAUCAACCAAGAGCAGAAAACACCAAUUCACAUUAUUCCCUCACCUCCCUCCUCCUUCUGUACCCCUUCUGUGGAGACUGUUAAUAAGCAUGAAAGCACCCAUCUGGAAGAGAGCCAGUCACAUUCAAUACAGGUUUCUCCAGAGCUAAGUUUCAGUACAGCAUCUCAAAUGAAGGUUAUAGAGACUCCCUACCAGUUUAGUCCCUUUGCCAGAAAGUUGUGUAGUGUACUAGAGGAAAGUAUAUGUGAAAAGUUUGGGGAACUAGAAUCACGGAUAAUAAAGCAACUGACGGAGAAACAAAGAACACCUGAAUGCACAGAGACCAGAUGUUUCACACCAUUAGAUCCUUCCUGUGGAAAUGUGGAACCCAGAAUCUACAAGGAAGCUCAAUUUUUCCCUUCUCCUUUUAAAGAUAGAACUAAUAUGAUGAUUGAAGAAUCAUCCUCGUCAUUCCUCAAACCUAAAAACACUGCUCCAAAGAAACGAACACAAAGAAAUUCUGUGCUGCUCGAAAAUAUUUCAUUGAUGCAGGAGAAAGAAAAUUGUUUAGAGUUUACUGGAUAUCCAGAAUUAAACAGCACUGUUAUACACUUGCCAACACGAGUACAGGAAAGAAGACGAUCUACUCGUUGUUCAGUUACACCUGCAUUUUUUCAUACUGAGUUUCAGCCAGUACAAAACAAGAAGCAGACAUGCAAAAGUACUUCAACUGAUAGAAGUAACAUAAUGGUUGAAGAAUCAUCAUCUCCAUUUCUCAAACCUAAAAACCCUGCUCCAAAGAGGCAAACACAAAGAAAUUCACUAAUGCAGGAGUCUGAAAAUUGUUUAGAGUUUACUGAAUAUCCAGAAUUAAACAGCACUGUUAUACGCUUGCCAACACGAGUACAGGAAAGAAGACGAUCUACUCGUUGUUCAGUUACACCUGCAUUUUUUCAUACUGAGUUUCAGCCGGUACAAAACAAGAAGCAGACACGCAAAAGUAUUUCAGCUGCUCGUAAUUUUAAAUCACAAGCAUGUAAGAUUGAAGAUAAAAUAUCCACUAAUGGAAAUAAGCAAAAAACACACAAUGCCAAAGUGUUGGAGCUUCUGAAUACUGGGACAGUUAAAGAAUUACAGAGUCUUCCAUGUAUAGGACCAAAGACAGCUAAGGUUCUUAUCACCUGGAGGGAGUUAAGAGGAUCCCUAGCAAGCCUGAAAGAUCUGAAAAAAUUUGAGGGGCUGUCUGGAAAAUUCUACCAUCAGUUCAUAAAAACAAACUUGCUGACUACAAGUCCCGUUUAGAGGGAGCAUUUGUGUGUGUUUGUAUCUAAGUGCAACAUUCACAUGUUUAUAUUUUAUUCUAUGUUGUAAAGAGUACAAAUGUAUUGUUUUUGCUUAAUAUUUUUGUAGUUACUGCAAGCAAUUAUGAUGAGAUUUUGUUUUUGGAACCUAGUAUUUGUACAGCAUUUCUCAUAAGUAAUGACUUCUGCUUUGACUCUUCACCACUCACUUUCUACUAUGUAAAUUACUGGUUCCAAGCUAUUGCAGUCAGAUGGAACCAUUCCCUCAUUUCUCGCAAACACCCAAGAUAUUUGUGUUAAUAACUUACUUUCCUGAUAUGGUCUUUAUUGUUAAUAUUUUCUGUCUCAGUCUUAGUUGAUAUUUCAUUUUACCUCUCAAUAAAAAUGUUGUCCACAAAACAAGAAAACAGCUUCAUUAACUGAAUGAUUUUUUUUUCACCUUAACCAAAAACUUUAAAUAACAAUAGAGAUUGUUUUCACCUUUAUCCUGAAUAUUCGAAUGACAGUGCAUCAAAUUUUUUAUUCUAACCCAAAAAUGUUGAUGGUUGAGAAGAAAUGAUAUCAUAUCAUUUAGCCUUUUAAAAAGGAAGUAAAAAAACAAUUAUCUGACACCUUGUACAUGGUGGCAGUCUUACAAAGUUGUCCCUCAUGUUAUUGGAUAACAAUGAAAGAAUCAGUCAACAAAGGGUAUCAGAUUUCUUGCUGAAGGGGUUAGGUAAAUAGCUGUAGCUGUCGAGUUUGACAUUGUUAUUCAAUUUAUUUUGUGACAAGUAUUGGUAAGCCUUUCAUCCAUUGAUUGCAUUUAGGUUUUUAACUUUUUAUUGUUGGUCUUUGUCUUUUUAACAUUAUUUUGUGUAAGAAACUGUUAGCAUUUUUUGUUGUUUCCAGCUUUCUCAACAGAUGUUUAUAAUUACAAGAAAAAUAUGAAGACGUCUGACUCGCCUUGUAGCUGUGGUUUGAAGGUAUUAUUUGACAUGCUGUAUUUUGGGCUUAUCUAUACUGACAGAAGCUCACCUGGAAGUGACCAGUAUGACCACAACAUCAUCAUGUGACUGCUACUUGUGUAUCUCUUACGAACAUACAGAACUGGAUGAAACAGCCGUGUUUGCAUGAAAUUACUUGGACCAUCUUCUCAGAAUACUGAAGUGUUUUACAUAGGUAUGACUGAAAUGGAUGAGAAGUUCCAAAUGCUGGAAAAACCAUGUGGUUGUUUUGAUUUUGUCACAUAUGUAGAAUGGAUCACCUGCUCAGAGAUUUUAUGUUCGACAUAUUCUGAAUUAUAUCAUAUUUUCAGUAGGUCGGGAAUAACAGUAUCAUAUAUUUAGAAUUGUUAACCUGCCCAUAAAUGUCAUUUCUGUGUCACAUACACUGCAAUAAAUUGUAUUAUUUUAGUUUGUAAUCCUGUUGAAGAAAUCAUUUCAAUGAAUAUAGAUAGGUAUGGAUUUGCAAGGUGUAGUAAUAUAGUUAUUAUACUGGAAAGUGCAAUAGUUGGACUAGUAGCAUUUCAAUUUUAUUUAUAAAUUUGCUCAUGCCUACUUAUCUGGGGGUCAGUACAUCAAAAAGAUUGCAACACCCCUGCAGUUACUUUAAAACUUUCUACUAAAGCACAAGAUAUAUGUGCUAUAGUUGUAUCGUUACUAAAAUCAAUGCAGUCAAUUGAUCUAACACAAAUUAUAUAAUAUAAUAUACAGUUCUUUUCAGUUUAAUUCAGAAGUAUUAAUUAUCAUCACAAUGCAUUUGUUGUUGAUAAUACAUCUCUUUUCCAAAGAUGCUUGUUAUGAGAUAUUAAACGUGGUUUGGGGUUUUCUUAUAAGAAGAAGCAGGCUGGUGUAGUAGCACAUUAAUACCUUCCACUAUCAUAGUCCUCUAUUAAUGUAUUUUACCAUAAUAGUUAUGACCUUUCAACGUGGGUAUGAAUUUGAUUCUUAAAUUGUACUGUCUGUUUCAGAUAAUGUUGCACUCUGAUGUUGAUUAAACAUGAGAGUGGAACAUUAAUCUAGAAAAUGGUAUUGUUUGUGUUAUGUAUGUGCUAGUGUGACAAACUAGUGUCAAUGUAUGUAUGCUGUAUAUAUUGGUGUGGAGCAAUGCCAGUAUAUGUAUACUGUCAUGAUAUAAAAGAUAUUAUUAAUUAAUUUAUUUUGUGAGUGAACAUUUUAUGAUUGUUUAGUUUUGUUCCUAACAAGAUAGAAGCAGUUAUUUUGAACAAAAUGUUAUGACUAGUUUAGUUACGUAAAUGGGUUUAUAACUAAUUAAUGCCAAGAUUAUAAAACAUCACUUGAAAUUUGUUGAUGCCAAGGAUAUAGCGAGCAGACGAUUAAGUAAUAAAUAUAUAUAUAUAUAUACAUAGUGUGAGAUGAGCGAGAAAAAUAGACAGACAGAUGAUGGUAGAAGAGAGAGAGCAAAGUCACAGGGAAGGAGUUCAGCCAAAGAAAAGUUAAACGAAAAGUUAACUGCUACAGAAGUGAAAGGCCAAACUUUUAAUAUAGGCAUAAUGGUUAAAUAUAUUAGAGGAAGCCUAACAGUUAUUAAAAGAGAUAAGAAGGAUAGUUUAUCUUGUCAAGGGGUGUUCUAAAGUAACUGAACAAGCCUGAGUGAAUUUUGACAAAAGGCAGACGAUUCAAAAAGGAAUAGACGAUAUUUGAAGUACAAAGAACAGUAUACUACUGUGGUAACUCACUUUACAAUUGUAAGAGAAUUAUACAUGAAAUACUAGUGCAUUAGAGAUAAAGAAAAGUAGUUCAGCUUGUCAACUGACAUUCUAAAGUGAUUGAAUAGGCCUAGGUGGACUUUUGACAAGAAGAAGAGAGCUAUAUAAUGUUUGAUAUACCUAUGAUCUCUAUAGUGUAAUAGA